GCUGGUGUAGCACAGUUGGUAGUUGCGGAGCAUUCGUAAUGCUCAGGUCGAGAGUUCAAGCCUCUCCACCAGCUCCA
rnacentral:tRNA from 1 species